rnacentral:rRNA from 1 species
GGCGGCGUGCUUAACACAUGCAAGUCGAGCGAUGAAGUUUCUUCGGAAAUGGAUUAGCGGCGAACGGGUGAGGAACACGUGAAGAAUCUGCCCUCCACUUUGGGAUAACACCGGGAAACCGGUGCUAAUACCGAAUAUUGAAACAUAAGUGGCAUCACUGAGUUUUGAAAGAAUUUCGGUGGAGGAUGACUUCGCGGCCUAUCAGCUAGUUGGUGAGGUAAUGGCUCACCAAGGCAACGACGGGUAGCCGGCCUGAGAGGGCGACCGGCCACACUGGGACUGAGACACGGCCCAGACUCCUACGGGAGGCAGCAGUGGGGAAUAUUGGGCAAUGGAGGAAACUCUGACCCAGCGACGCCGCGUGCGGGAUGAAGGCCUUCGGGUUGUAAACCGCUUUCAGUAGGGAAGAAGCGAAAGUGACGGUACCUACAAAAGAAGCACCGGCUAACUAUGUGCCAGCAGCCGCGGUAAUACAUAGGGUGCAAGCGUUGUCCGGAAUUAUUGGGCGUAAAGAGCUCGUAGGUCGUUUGUUACGUCGGAUGUGAAAACCUGAGGCUCAACCUCAGGCCUGCAUUCGAUACGGGCAAACUAGAGUUUGGUAGGGGAGACUGGAAUUCCUGGUGUAGCGGUGGAAUGCGCAGAUAUCAGGAGGAACACCAAUGGCGAAGGCAG